rnacentral:rRNA from 1 species
GGGCGUAAGCGCGCGUAGGUGGUUUGAUAAGUUGGAUGUGAAAGCCCCGGGCUCAACCUGGGAAUUGCAUCCAAAACUGUCUGACUAGAGUAUGGCAGAGGGUGGUGGAAUUUCCUGUGUAGCGGUGAAAUGCGUAGAUAUAGGAAGGAACACCAGUGGCGAAGGCGACCGCCUGGGCUAAUACUGACACUGAGGUGCGAAAGCGUGGGGAGCAAACAGGAUUAGA